UCUGAGCCUCCUUCCAACCCCCUUGCAGGAUUCCUCAAGCAAGAAGAGCUGGUUUGGUUGCUGUCCUUCAAAUGAUGGAUCUUAUCACGUGGGAAAAAGAAAAAAAGCAAACCACCUGCAAACAGCCACAGGUGUGGACAAGACCAAGGACUGAAGCUGAAGGGUGUGCAAGCUCCCAUCUGCGUGCCAGCCUGGGCGUACUGUAAGGUGGAGACAUCUGCAACUUCAUGCGCUGCACCAUGGAUGGGCUUUCUUCUUGUCAGGAGUGUUUGCCUUUGGGAUCCUCCUAUUGUUGGGGCACCACCGAGAGGAUUACUGUUUGCUCUUUGCUUCUGCAUUCACCUCUAGUCGCAGAUGCAGCCAGGCCUUCCCAACCAGCUGCUUUUCCUGAGCUGCAGGAGCAGAAGACAAGCCCAGGCAGGGCCAUCUGCAGCAGCUGCUGUGCUCCAGCA
rnacentral:lncRNA from 1 species